rnacentral:siRNA from 1 species
UCUAUAUGUUUAUUAUGAUGC